rnacentral:rRNA from 1 species
CCCCAGGGCCCGAGUUGUAAUUUGCAGAGGAUGCUUUUGGCGAGGCGCCUUCCGAGUCUGUGGAUGCCGAGCCUCCAGGGAACUCGGAAGGC